UACAGAGGUCUCAAGCGUUGUUCGGAUUCAUUGGGCGUAAAGGGUGCGUAGGCGGCGCGGUAAGUCGGGUGUGAAAUCUUGGAGCUUAACUCCGAAACUGCAUUCGAUACUGCCGUGCUUGAGGACUGGAGAGGAGACUGGAAUUUUACGGUGUAGCGGUGAAAUGCGUAGAUAUCAGGAGGAACACCGGUGGCGAAGGCGGUGGUCUGGGCCGGAACUGACGCUGGAGGAGCGAAAGCGUGGGGAGCGAACAGG
rnacentral:rRNA from 1 species